CACGAUUAAAAUAAUCAUGCUCACACAUUUCCAGAACUCCGACCCCAACCUCCACGUGGUGCUGGCUGGACUACAACUGUUGCACAAAAUGUGCAACAAUUGUAUACCAACUGGGGCGGGGGUGUUGUGUUUUUGUUUGUCGUUUCAGAUCACCGUUUUGCUGUCGAUCAACGGAUACAUUUAUAGUUUUGCUUGCAGCAAAACAAAGGUAGGUUGCAAUAAUACUUACGUUCCAUUUUAUAACAAACUAAUUAUUGUAACUAUUUUUUUCAGUAACUUUUAUGUGCGACAUCGAACCACCAAUCCAUCUCGGAACCAUGUCCUGUCGACACUCUCACCAAGGACGGUUUUAUAUGAUGUAUGCCGCGUGCGGAGUGAGUGGCAAACGAUACUUCAUCUAAGCUGCUCAACGUUUUCUUCCUCUGCUGCGGUAUCGGAAUCGUAACAUCGUAAAUAUGGCCCCAGCGACCUAUUUCUAUUGUUGCGACAAAUGUCAGCACGCGUCGUACGAAUCAUCGGUGGUAUGCUGUCCGAAGAACAAAGCUGCCACAGCUGAACCCACAGCCCGAUUGCACGAUCAGCACAGUUACAGCAUAGCGUAAGGUUCAACACCCGGGGCUCGCGUUGAGCUAACAGCACGGCACCGUCAACGACACGAUCGGUCACCCAACGCCAUGCCCGUCGAAUGAUCCGCCCUCCACCGACCAAUCUGCUGACGCCGAUGGGCGCCCAAUCGCGCAACUCGGAAACAGAAUCUGCCUCACCCCCACGACCGUGACAUUACUAUUAGAUAAUAAAAGUGCGAUUGAUGGUUCGA